GGAGAGGUGCCGGAGUGGCUAAUCGGAGCAGUCUGUAAAACUGCCGCUCGAAAGGGCUUCACUGGUUCGAAUCCAGUCCUCUCCA
rfam:Dehalogenimonas alkenigignens strain IP3-3 genomic scaffold scaffold00001, whole genome shotgun sequence.